UGGGGAAUAUUGCACAAUGGGGGAAACCCUGAUGCAGCGACGCCGCGUGAACGAAGAAGGUAUUCGUAUCGUAAAGUUCUGUCCUAUGGGAAGAUAAUGACAGUACCAUAGAAGAAAGCUCCGGCUAAAUACGUGCCAGCAGCCGCGGUAAUACGUAUGGAGCGAGCGUUGUCCGGAAUUAUUGGGCGUAAAGGGUACGCAGGCGGUUUAAUAAGUCGAAUGUUAAAGAUCGGGGCUCAACCCCGUAAAGCAUUGGAAACUGAUAAACUUGAGUAGUGGAGAGGAAAGUGGAAUUCCUGGUGUAGUGGUGAAAUACGUAGAUAUUAGGAGGAAUACCAGUAGCGAAGGCGACUUUCUGGACACAAACUGACGCUGAGGUACGAAAGCGUGGGGAGCAAACAGG
rnacentral:rRNA from 1 species